GACGGAGGGUGCGAGCGUUAUUCGGAAUUAUUGGGCGUAAAGAGCGUGUAGGCGGUUGGUUAAGUCAGAUGUGAAAGCCCGGGGCUCAACCUCGGAAGUGCAUUUGAUACUGGUCAACUUGAGUUCGGGAGAGGGAAGCGGAAUUCCUGGUGUAGAGGUGAAAUUCGUAGAUAUCAGGAGGAACACCGGUGGCGAAGGCGGCUUCCUGGACCGAAACUGACGCUGAGACGCGAAAGCGUGGGGAGCAAAC
rnacentral:rRNA from 1 species